AGCGAACGCUGGCGGUAGGCCUAACACAUGCAAGUCGAGCGGGCACUCUCGGGUGUCUGCGGCGGACGGGUGAGGAGCGCGGGGGAAGGGGCCCUCUGGUUCGGAAUAACUCAUUGAAACUUGAGCUAAUAGCGGAUACGCCGUUUUGGGGGAAGGCUUGCUGCCGGAGGAUGCGCGCGAGUCUGAUUCGCUAGGUGGUGGGGUAAGGGCUCACCAAGGGGACGAUCUGUAGAGGGUCUGAGAGGAUGAUCAGCCACACUGGGACUGAGACACGGCCCAGACUCCUACGGGAGGCAGCAGUGGGGAAUAUUGGACAAUGGGCGCAAGGCUGAUCCAGCCCUGCCGCGUGAGUGAUGAAGGCCUUAGGGAUGUAAAGCUCUUUUAUCCGGGACGAUAAUGACGGUACCGGAGGAAUAAGCCCCGGCUAACUUCGUG
rnacentral:rRNA from 1 species